GACGAACGCUGGCGGCGUGCUUAACACAUGCAAGUCGAACGGGAUUUCGUAGACAGAAGCCUCGGCUAAAGAUUACUAAUGAGAGUGGCGACCGGGUGAGUAACGCGUUAGCACCCUGCCUAUGACAGUGGGAUAGCCUCGGGAAACCGGGAUUAAUACCGCAUAAAAUCGUAGAAACACAUGUUUUAACGGUCAAAGAUUUAUCGGUCAUAGAUGGGCUCGCGUCUGAUUAGCUAGUUGGUGAGAUAACAGCCCACCAAGGCGACGAUCAGUAGCCGGUAUGAGAGGAUGAACGGACACAAUGGAACUGAGACACGGUCCAAACUCCUACGGGAGGCAGCAGUGGGGAAUAUUGCACAAUGGGGGAAACCCUGAUGCAGCGACGCCGCGUGAAAGAAGAAGGUAUUCGUAUCGUAAAGUUCUGUCCUAUGGGAAGAUAAUGACAGUAACAUAGAAGAAAGCUCCGGCUAAAUACGUG
rnacentral:rRNA from 1 species